rnacentral:rRNA from 1 species
UAAGUGACUAAGCGUACACGGUGGAUGCCUGGGCAGUCAGAGGCGAUGAAGGACGUACUAACUUGCGAUAAGCGCAGAUAAGGCAGUAAGAGCCGUUUGAGUCUGCGAUUUCCGAAUGGGGAAACCCAACUGCAUAAGCAGUUACUGUUAACUGAAUACAUAGGUUAACAGAGCAAACCGGGGGAACUGAAACAUCUAAGUACCCCGAGGAGAAGAAAUCAACCGAGAUUCCGGUAGUAGCGGCGAGCGAACCUGGAUUAGCCCUUAAGCACUCGGUGAAGUAGGUGAACAAGCUGGAAAGCUUGGCGAUACAGGGUGAUAGCCCCGUAACCGACGCUUCAUCGAGCGUGAAAUCGAGUAGGGCGGGACACGUGAUAUCCUGUCUGAAUAUGGGGGGACCAUCCUCCAAGGCUAAAUACUCCUGACUGACCGAUAGUGAACCAGUACCGUGAGGGAAAGGCGAAAAGAACCCCUGUGAGGGGAGUGAAAUAGAACCUGAAACCGUGUACGUACAAGCAGUAGGAGCACCUUCGUGGUGUGACUGCGUACCUUUUGUAUAAUGGGUCAGCGACUUAUAUUCAGUGGCAAGGUUAACCGUAUAGGGGAGCCGUAGCGAAAGCGAGUCUUAACUGGGCGCUCAGUCUCUGGAUAUAGACCCGAAACCGGGUGAUCUAGCCAUGGGCAGGUUGAAGGUUGAGUAACAUCAACUGGAGGACCGAACCGACUAAUGUUGAAAAAUUAGCGGAUGACUUGUGGCUAGGGGUGAAAGGCCAAUCAAACUCGGAGAUAGCUGGUUCUCCCCGAAAGCUAUUUAGGUAGCGCCUCGGACGAAUACUACUGGGGGUAGAGCACUGUUAAGGCUAGGGGGUCAUCCCGACUUACCAACCCUUUGCAAACUCCGAAUACCAGUAAGUACUAUCCGGGAGACACACGGCGGGUGCUAACGUCCGUCGUGGAGAGGGAAACAACCCAGACCGCCAGCUAAGGUCCCAAAGUAUUGCUAAGUGGGAAACGAUGUGGGAAGGCUCAGACAGCUAGGAUGUUGGCUUAGAAGCAGCCAUCAUUUAAAGAAAGCGUAAUAGCUCACUAGUCGAGUCGACCUGCGCGGAAGAUGUAACGGGGCUAAGCAAUACACCGAAGCUGCGGCAAUGUCUUUUAGAUAUUGGGUAGGGGAGCGUUCUGUAAGCCGUUGAAGGUGAAUCGUAAGGUUUGCUGGAGGUAUCAGAAGUGCGAAUGCUGACAUGAGUAACGACAAAGGGGGUGAAAAAACCUCCUCGCCGGAAGACCAAGGGUUCCUGUCCAACGUUAAUCGGGGCAGGGUGAGUCGACCCCUAAGGUGAGGCCGAAAGGCGUAAUCGAUGGGAAACGGGUUAAUAUUCCCGUACUUCUGACUAUUGCGAUGGGGGGACGGAGAAGGCUAGGUGGGCCAGGCGACGGUUGUCCUGGUUCAAGUGCGUAGGCUUGAGGGUUAGGUAAAUCCGGCUCUCUCUAAGGCUGAGACACGACGUCGAGCUGCUACGGCAGUGAAGUCAUUGAUGCCAUGCUUCCAGGAAAAGCCUCUAAGCUUCAGAUAGUCAGGAAUCGUACCCCAAACCGACACAGGUGGUCGGGUAGAGAAUACCAAGGCGCUUGAGAGAACUCGGGUGAAGGAACUAGGCAAAAUGGUACCGUAACUUCGGGAGAAGGUACGCUCUUGAUGGUGAAGUCCCUCGCGGAUGGAGCUGACGAGAGUCGCAGAUACCAGGUGGCUGCAACUGUUUAUUAAAAACACAGCACUGUGCAAAAUCGCAAGAUGACGUAUACGGUGUGACGCCUGCCCGGUGCCGGAAGGUUAAUUGAUGGGGUUAGCGCAAGCGAAGCUCUUGAUCGAAGCCCCGGUAAACGGCGGCCGUAACUAUAACGGUCCUAAGGUAGCGAAAUUCCUUGUCGGGUAAGUUCCGACCUGCACGAAUGGCGUAAUGAUGGCCACGCUGUCUCCACCCGAGACUCAGUGAAAUUGAAAUCGCUGUGAAGAUGCAGUGUACCCGCGGCUAGACGGAAAGACCCCGUGAACCUUUACUACAGCUUGGCACUGAACAUUGAACCUACAUGUGUAGGAUAGGUGGGAGGCUAUGAAGACGUGACGCCAGUUGCGUUGGAGCCGUCCUUGAAAUACCACCCUUGUAUGUUUGAUGUUCUAACUUAGACCCAUUAUCUGGGUUGAGGACAGUGCCUGGUGGGUAGUUUGACUGGGGCGGUCUCCUCCCAAAGAGUAACGGAGGAGCACGAAGGUGGGCUAAUCACGGUUGGACAUCGUGAGGUUAGUGCAAUGGCAUAAGCCCGCUUAACUGCGAGAAUGACGGUUCGAGCAGGUGCGAAAGCAGGUCAUAGUGAUCCGGUGGUUCUGUAUGGAAGGGCCAUCGCUCAACGGAUAAAAGGUACUCCGGGGAUAACAGGCUGAUACCGCCCAAGAGUUCAUAUCGACGGCGGUGUUUGGCACCUCGAUGUCGGCUCAUCACAUCCUGGGGCUGAAGUCGGUCCCAAGGGUAUGGCUGUUCGCCAUUUAAAGUGGUACGCGAGCUGGGUUUAGAACGUCGUGAGACAGUUCGGUCCCUAUCUGCCGUGGGCGUUGGAAGAUUGAAGGGGGCUGCUCCUAGUACGAGAGGACCGGAGUGGACGAACCUCUGGUGUUCGGGUUGUGUCGCCAGACGCAUUGCCCGGUAGCUAAGUUCGGAAUUGAUAAGCGCUGAAAGCAUCUAAGCGCGAAGCGAGCCCUGAGAUGAGUCUUCCCUGAUACUUUAAGUAUCCUAAAGGGUUGUUCGAGACUAGAACGUUGAUAGGCAGGGUGUGUAAGCGUUGUGAGGCGUUGAGCUAACCUGUACUAAUUGCCCGUGAGGCUUAACCA